GAUGAACGCUGGCGGCGUGCCUAAUACAUGCAAGUCGAGCGAACAGACGAGGAGCUUGCUCCUCUGACGUUAGCGGCGGACGGGUGAGUAACACGUGGAUAACCUACCUAUAAGACUGGGAUAACUUCGGGAAACCGGAGCUAAUACCGGAUAAUAUAUUGAACCGCAUGGUUCAAUAGUGAAAGACGGUUUUGCUGUCACUUAUAGAUGGAUCCGCGCCGCAUUAGCUAGUUGGUAAGGUAACGGCUUACCAAGGCAACGAUGCGUAGCCGACCUGAGAGGGUGAUCGGCCACACUGGAACUGAGGCACGGUCCAGACUCCUACGGGAGGCAGCAGUAGGGAAUCUUCCGCAAUGGGCGAAAGCCUGACGGAGCAACGCCGCGUGAGUGAUGAAGGUCUUCGGAUCGUAAAACUCUGUUAUUAGGGAAGAACAAAUGUGUAAGUAACUAUGCACGUCUUGACGGUACCUAAUUAGAAAGCCACGGCUAACUACGUG
rnacentral:rRNA from 1 species